GAUGAACGCUGGCGGCGUGCCUAAUACAUGCAAGUCGAGCGAACUGAUUAGAAGCUUGCUUCUAUGACGUUAGCGGCGGACGGGUGAGUAACACGUGGGCAACCUGCCUGUAAGACUGGGAUAACUUCGGGAAACCGAAGCUAAUACCGGAUAGGAUCUUCUCCUUCAUGGGAGAUGAUUGAAAGAUGGUUUCGGCUAUUACUUACAGAUGGGCCCGCGGUGCAUUAGCUAGUUGGUGAGGUAACGGCUCACCAAGGCAACGAUGCAUAGCCGACCUGGGAGGGUGAUCGGCCAACCUGGGACUGAGACACGGCCCAGACUCCUACGGGAGGCAGCAGUAGGGAAGCUGCCGCAAUGGACGAAAGUCUGACGGAGCAACGCCGCGUGAGUGAUGAAGGCUUUCGGGUCGUAAAACUCUGUUGUUAGGGAAGAACAAGUACGUUAGUAACUGAACGUACCUUGACGGUACCUUACCAGAAAGCCACGGCUAACUACGUGCCAGCCGCCGCUGUAAUAC
rnacentral:rRNA from 1 species